rnacentral:lncRNA from 1 species
UGACAAAAGAAUUACAAUACUGAUACUAAGGAGACUUCUCUCCCACAAAACAUGACAAAAGAAUUAUAAUACUGAUACUACGAAGACUUUUCUCCCACAAAACAUGACAAAAGAAUUACAAUACUGAUACUACGAAGACUUCUUUCCUACAAAACAUGACAAAAUAAUUACAAUACUGAUACAACGAAGAUCUCUCUCCCACAAGACAUGACAAAAGAAUUACAAUACUGAUACUAAGGAGACUUCUCUCCCACAAGACAUGACAAAAGAAUUAUAAUAUUGAUACUACGAAGACUUCGCUCCCACAAAACAUGACAAAAGAAUUAUAAUAUUCAUACUACGAAGACUUCGCUCCCACAA